GACGAACGCUGGCGGCGUGCUUAACACAUGCAAGUCGAACGGAAAGGCCCUGCUUUUGUGGGGUGCUCGAGUGGCGAACGGGUGAGUAACACGUGAGUAACCUGCCCUUGACUUUGGGAUAACUUCAGGAAACUGGGGCUAAUACCGGAUAGGAGCUCCUGCUGCAUGGUGGGGGUUGGAAAGUUUCGGCGGUUGGGGAUGGACUCGCGGCUUAUCAGCUUGUUGGUGGGGUAGUGGCUUACCAAGGCUUUGACGGGUAGCCGGCCUGAGAGGGUGACCGGCCACAUUGGGACUGAGAUACGGACCAGACUCCUACGGGAGGCAGCAGUGGGGAAUAUUGCACAAUGGGCGGAAGCCUGAUGCAGCAACGCCGCGUGCGGGAUGACGGCCUUCGGGUUGUAAACCGCUUUCGCCUGUGCCGAAGCGUGAGUGACGGUAAUGGGUAAAGAAGCACCGGCUAACUACGUG
rnacentral:rRNA from 1 species